CAUUUACACCUCUGAUAUCGUAGUCUUGCCUGCCAUGUUAAUUGCAGUACUUAAUCUCUUUAGGGGGAGGGGCUAAGCAAGAAGUUGAAUUGGGGCAAGACCAUAUAACAGUAAUAUUAAACGAGGAGUAUUUUGCUUAGGUACUGAUGUGUACCAAGAUGAUGUUUAUAUAGCUAAAUUCAGGUGUCUGCAAACGAUAUUUGCAAACACUCGGUGUUGAAGCUACCUACAAGAGCUGAU